AACGCUGGCGGCGUGCCUAAUACAUGCAGUCGAACGAAUCUUGGGAGGCUUGCUCCCGAGAGUAGCGGCGGACGGGUGAGUAACCACGUGGCAACCUGGCCUGUAAGACUGGGAUUACUUCGGGAAACCGGAGCUAAUACCGGAUAAUUCUUUUCAACACAUGUUGGAAAGUUAAAAGUCGGUUUCGGCUGACACUUACAGAUGGGCCCGCGGCGCAUUAGCUAGUUGGUGAGGUAACGGCUCACCAAGGCGACGAUGCGUAGCCGACUGAGAGGGUGAUCGGCCACACUGGGACUGAGACACGGCCCAGACUCCUACGGGAGGCAGCAGUAGGGAAUCUUCCACAAUGGACGAAAGUCUGAUGGAGCAACGCCGCGUGAGCGAUGAAGGCCUUCGGGUCGUAAAUCUCUGUUGUUAGGGAAGAACAAGUAUCGGAGUAACUGCCGGUACCUUGACGGUACCUAACCAGAAAGCCACGGCUAACUACGUGCCAGCAGCCGCGGUAAUACGUAGGUGGCAAGCGUUGUCCGGAAUUAUUGGGCGUAAAGCGCGCGCAGGCGGUCCUUUAAGUCUGAUGUGAAAGCCCACGGCUCAACCGUGGAGGGUCAUUGGAAACUGGGGGACUUGAGUUGAGUGCAGAAGAGGAAAGCGGAAUUCCACGUGUAGCGGUGAAAUGCGUAGAGAUGUGGAGGAACACCAGUGGCGAAGGCGGCUUUCUGGUCUGUAACUGACGCUGAGGCGCGAAAGCGUGGGGGAGCAAACAGGAUUAGAUACCCUGGUAGUCCACGCCGUAAACGAUGAGUGCUAAGUGUUAGAGGGUUUCCGCCCUUUAGUGCUGCAGCUAACGCAUUAAGCACUCCGCCUGGGGAGUACGGCCGCAAGGCUGAAACUCAAAGGAAUUGACGGGGGCCCGCACAAGCGGUGGAGCAUGUGGUUUAAUUUGAAGCAACGCGAAGAACCUUACCAGGUCUUGACAUCCUCUGACACUCCUAGAGAUAGGACGUUCCCCUUCGGGGGACAGAGUGACAGGUGGUGCAUGGUUGUCGUCAGCUCGUGUCGUGAGAUGUUGGGUUAAGUCCCGCAACGAGCGCAACCCUUGAUCUUAGUUGCCAGCAUUCAGUUGGGCACUCUAAGGUGACUGCCGGUGACAAACCGGAGGAAGGUGGGGAUGACGUCAAAUCAUCAUGCCCCUUAUGACCUGGGCUACACACGUGCUACAAUGGAUGGUACAAAGGGCUGCGAGACCGCAAGGUUUAGCCAAUCCCAUAAAACCAUUCUCAGUUCGGAUUGCAGGCUGCAACUCGCCUGCAUGAAGCCGGAAUCGCUAGUAAUCGCGGAUCAGCAUGCCGCGGUGAAUACGUUCCCGGGCCUUGUACACACCGCCCGUCACACCACGAGAGUUUGUAACACCCGAAGUCGGUGGGGUAACCGCAAGGGGCCAGCCGCCUAAGGUGG
rnacentral:rRNA from 1 species